AACGCGAAGAACCUUACCUGGGCUCGAACGGCUUCUCAACGGCGGUGGAAACACCGCUACUCCGCAAGGGGGUGGAGUCGAGGUGCUGCAUGGCUGUCGUCAGCUCGUGUCGUGAGAUGUUGGGUUAAGUCCCGCAACGAGCGCAACCCUUGUCCUGUGUUGCCACUCCGUAAGGAAGCACUCGCAGGAGACCGCCAGCGAUAAGCUGGAGGAAGGUGGGGAUGAUGUCAAGUCAUCAUGGCCUUUAUGUCCAGGGCUACACACGUGCUACAAUGGGCGGUACAAAGCGCUGCAAACCCGCGAGGGGGAGCUAAUCGCAAAAAACCGUUCUCAGUUCGGAUCGCAGGCUGCAACUCGCCUGCGUGAAGCUGGAAUCGCUAGUAAUGGUGUAUCAGAAUGAUACCGUGAAUACGUUCCCGGGCCUUGUACACACCGCACGA
rnacentral:rRNA from 1 species